UAAAAAGUUACUCAAGCGCGCACAAUGAAUGCCUUGACAUUAGAUACCGAUGAAGGACGUGAUGAGCUGCGAAAAGCUCCGGGGAGUAGCCAAAUAUACUUUGAUCCGGAGAUGUCCGAAUGGGGAAACCCAGCUAGAGUUAUGUCUAGUUACGCCUGCCUGAAUAUAUAGGGCGGUGACGUGGUAACCGGGGGAACUGAAACAUCUUAGUACCCCGAGGAAGAGAAAAUAACCAAUGAUUCCGUAAGUAGUGGCGAGCGAACGCGGAAGA
rnacentral:rRNA from 1 species